rnacentral:tRNA from 1 species
GGGCCUAUAGCUCAGCUGGUUAGAGCGCACGCCUGAUAAGCGUGAGGUCGAUGGUUCGAGUCCAUUUAGCCCACCA